CAGUGCUGCUCUAUUCUGGGACAAGCAGAACCACCCAGCCCAUGUAAAUCUCAGUUUCACUCCCACAGCUACCAGUCUAGUAGUUAGACUGGGACAGAUAUGAGUGACUGGUUUUAACCUCGAUGGUGGAUUCAGAUGUAACAGACCUGCUCAUCAAGAUAGUUCAUAUAUUGCUCGAUGAUCACAUCACACGUUUGGUUGUGAGGUUCAUAUGGAGAUUCGAUUUAUGGGGCUGAUGCAACAUCACCAUUGUUUAUUUUUUUACAUCUGUGGAUCUGACUCUGAUUAUGAACAGGUAAUGUGUGUUUUAAAACUUCAUAUAACUUUUAUAAGUGAACUUCACGACCAUGACAAUAAAUAUUCACAAGUGUGAUGAGGAUGAUGGGGAACUUGUGAUCUGAAUGAUGCUUUGUAAAAAUACUCAAAGUUGACCUCUUCUACUGAUCAGUGUUCCAUGUCACUGUCUUCCCCUCAGCACCUGGGAUAAGUUUACAUUAUAGACAUCAUCACUGAUGUAUUUAGCUCAGUGUAAUUUAGUUCAGUCAGUGUUCCAUGUCAAUGUCUCUUCCCCCUAAGCACCUGCAGUAGGUCCCAGCUGUAUCAGUACAGUCACUGUGCAGUCUGACUGAGGGAGGUUUUUGUACGUCUCUGUAUCACUGUGUGAACACAUCUUUACUAAUGAUGUAGUGGUAACUCUGACAGUAGUAAUCUCCUGCAUCUUCAGCCUGGACUCCACUGAUGGUCAGAGUGAAGUCACUCCCAGAUCCACUGCCACUGAAUCUAGAUGGAGUCCCAGACUGAAGUGUUGUAGCAUAGUAAAUAAGGAGUUUAGGAGCUCCUCCAGGUUUCUGUUGGUACCAGUCUAGAUAGUUAUUAGAAUACACAUUACUGCUGGUUUUACAGUUCAGAGAGACUGUCUGUUCUGGGAGAACAGCUUUCACUACCGGAGUCUGUGUCACAACGUACUGUCCUCUGGAUUCU